CCUACGGGAGGCAGCAGUAGGGAAUAUUGCUCAAUGGGGGAAACCCUGAAGCAGCAACGCCGCGUGGAGGAUGAAGGUUUUCGGAUUGUAAACUCCUUUUGUUAGAGAAGAUAAUGACGGUAUCUAACGAAUAAGCACCGGCUAACUCCGUGCCAGCAGCCGCGGUAAUACGGAGGGUGCAAGCGUUACGCGGAAUCACUGGGCGUAAAGCGCGCGUAGGCGGGAUAGCAAGUCAGAUGUGAAAUCCUAUGGCUUAACCAUAGAACUGCAUUUGAAACUGUUAUUCUAGAGUAUGGGAGAGGUAGGUGGAAUUCGUGGUGUAGGGGUAAAAUCCGUAGAGAUCAAGAGGAAUACUGAUUGCGAAGGCGACCUGCUAGAACAUAACUGACGCUGAUGCGCGAAAGCGUGGGGAGCAAACAGGAUUAGAUACCCGAGUAGUC
rnacentral:rRNA from 1 species